CAGAUGUAGAGUGCGCUUUAGAACAAUUCGUCUUUUUACGCAGACGGUCCUGAAUGCCUGAAUUUCAUUGAAUUUGACAUGUUUGCUUGUGUAUAGUCGUGUUUACAUUGCCAAAGGUUUUCCUGCACACAAUGACAAAAACGUCAAAGAAGUGGUCAUCGGAACGCAUAAUAAAGUUUUUGGAAGCAUACGAACAAUAUCCAUGCCUGUGGAACCACAAACUUCCAUCGUAUAAAGAUAAAAGUAAAAGAGAUGAAGCAUUGAGAAAAAUUGUUGAGGUUAUGUCUGAUCCUGAAUUGAACGUAAACUCUGCAAAAGCCAAAAUACGCAGUAUUCGAAAUGCCUAUACAUUAGAGCAUCAUAAAGUUUUAAAAUCUUACAAAAAUGGAAUAUCUGGAGACAUAUACAAACCAACGGUAUGUUGGUUUUCUGUAGCUGAUCGAUUUCUGAAAGGAAUUGUGGAAACAAGAGAUACAAAGAAUGCUUCGGAAUUGCCAGAGUUACGUGGAUUACAAGGACAUAUUGAAGAAGGUCAUGAAAAUGAGGGAAAUGAAACUUCUUUUCAAAAUCAUUAUCAUUUCGAGGUGGAAGAGACUGCAGCAGAUAAUCAUACUGUCCAUUCACUUGCAUCAUCCACUUCAAAUCAAUCAAUCAAAGAUCCUCAAAAGAUAAUAGCAAAAAGAAAAUUUAUGAAUAAUAAGCAAGAUCACCCUUAUAAACAAGAACAAAACAAGAAAGAAGUGGCACGUACCUUAAAACUACAAGAAGUAAAUUGCAAAAUUUGGAAGACUAGACAACUGAUAAAAGUUUGAGAAGGUUCUGAAAUCUGAACAGACGAACAGAAUACAAUAGACUCUAAUUCUAAACGAGAGUACACUCACACUAAAGGCAACUCAAGUACAUUGAGGUGUACGACGUGAAGUUCAACCAAUGUCAGUUUCCAACAAUAUCGAUAAGCACUUUGCCCAACUUUAUCUAUAUGUACAAGCAAUAUGUAACUAACGAGAGUCCCAACUAUCAGCGUUGCGAUAAACUUGUUCACGAAAUUCGACUGAGAUGGAUGUUGUCCCGUAAGUAUGAAAUACGUUUUAAGCAGUUUAUAAUACGGAAUUUGAAAUGCAUUUGCUUCUUGUGUCCUCUGAAAAGCUGAAUGUUAGGUAUUAUAAUUAUAAUUGAUAUGUCAUAAUUGUAUCGUAUAUUAAUAAACAUAAUCGGUUACGUAAUUAUAUAAUUAGUAGAUUGCGAACGUUUAUGUAUUUGUAGUAAGUGAAAAAUAUGUGAAAAUGUAUGAGGAUACGCAUAAAUACAACUGUGUAUAAAAUAUCGACGAUAAAAUACAGGCUACACUGUUAAGUAUGAAAUACGUUUUAAGCAUUUUAUAUUAAGGUAUUUGGAAUGCACUUGGUUCUUUUUUCUUGUCACUCGGAGAAGCCGAAUGAUAGGUAUUAUAAUUAUACACAAUAUAUCAUAAUUGUAUCAUGUAUUAAUGACCAUAAUUAACGUCCACGUUUGCCAGUGGUCAGAAUGUAGCUUUAUAUAAUCCAUUUAAAUAUGAAAAAUUUUACCAGC